rnacentral:rRNA from 1 species
CCUGACCUCGAUUCGAGCGUGAAUACCCGCUGAACUUAAGCAUAUCAAUAAGCGGAGG